rnacentral:misc_RNA from 1 species
GAUGAAGAACGCAGCGAAAUGCGAUAAGUAGUGUGAAUUGCAGAAUUCAGUGAAUCAUCGAAUCUUUGAACGCACAUUGCGCCCCUUGGUAUCCCGAGGGGCAUGCCUGUUCGAGCGUCAUUUCACCACUCAAGCUCAGCUUGGUGUUGGGCCCCGCCGCCCCGGCGGGCCCUAAAGUCAGUGGCGGUGCCGUCCGGCUCCGAGCGUAGUAAUUCUUCUCGCUCUGGAGGUCCGGUCGUGUGCUCGCCAGCAACCCCCAAUUUUUUUCAGGUUGACCUCGGAUCAGGUAGGGAUACCCGCUGAACUUAAGCAUAUCAAUAAGCGGAGGA